rnacentral:rRNA from 1 species
UACGUGAGGGGGCUAGCGUUGUCCGGAUUUAUUGGGCGUAAAGAGCGUGUAGGCGGCCAGGUAGGUCUGCUGUGAAAACUCGAGGCUCAACCUCGAGACGUCGGCGGAAACCAUCUGGCUAGAGUCCGGAAGAGGAGAGUGGAAUUCCUGGUGUAGCGGUGAAAUGCGCAGAUAUCAGGAAGAACACCUAUGGCGAAGGCAGCUCUCUGGGACGGUACUGACGCUGAGACGCGAAAGCGUGGGGAGCGAACAGG